AUUGAACGCUGGCGGCAGGCCUAACACAUGCAAGUCGAGCGAGCGGCGGACGGGUGAGUAAUGUCUGGGAAACUGCCUGAUGGAGGGGGAUAACUACUGGAAACGGUAGCUAAUACCGCAUACCAUCAGAUGUGCCCAGAUGGGAUUAGAUGGUAGGGGGGGUAACGGCUCACCUAGGCGACGAUCCCUAGCUGGUCUGAGAGGAAGGUCCCCCACAGUGGAACUGAGACACGGUCCAAACUCCUACGGGAGGCAGCAGUGGGGAAUAUUGCACAAUGGGCGCAAGCCUGAUGCAGCCAUGCCGCGUGUAUGAAGAAGGCCUUCGGGUUGUAAAGUACUUUCAGCGGGGAGGCGUUACCCGCAGAAGAAGCACCGGCUAACUCCGUGCCAGCAGCCGCGGUAAUAC
rnacentral:rRNA from 1 species